CCUACGGGUGGCAGCAGUGAGGAAUAUUGGUCAAUGGACGGAAGUCUGAACCAGCCAUGCCGCGUGCAGGAUGACGGCUCUAUGAGUUGUAAACUGCUUUUGUAUUAGGGUAAACACCCCUACGUGUAGGGGCUUGAGAGUAUAAUACGAAUAAGGAUCGGCUAACUCCGUGCCAGCAGCCGCGGUAAUACGGGGGAUCCAAGCGUUAUCCGGAUUUGUUGGGGUUAAAGGGGGCGUAGGCGGUUUGAUAAGUUAGAGGUGAAAUACCGGUGCGCAACACCGGAACUGCCUCGAAUACUGUUGACAUAGGGAGUAGUGGCGGUAGGCGGAAUGUAUGGUGUAGCGGUGAAA
rnacentral:rRNA from 1 species